AUUGAACGCUGGCGGCAUGCUUUACACAUGCAAGUCGAACGGUAGACCCUUUCGGGGGUUGAGAGUGGCGAACGGGUGAGUAAUGCAUCGGAACGUGCCUAGUCGUGGGGGACAACGUAGCGAAAGUUACGCUAAUACCGCAUACGCACUGAGGUGGAAAGCGGGGGACCGUAAGGCCUCGCGCGAUUGGAGCGGCCGAUGUCGGAUUAGCUAGUUGGUGAGGUAAAGGCUCACCAAGGCGACGAUCCGUAGCGGGUCUGAGAGGAUGAUCCGCCACACUGGGACUGAGACACGGUCCAGACUCCUACGGGAGGCAGCAGUGGGGAAUUUUGGACAAUGGGCGCAAGCCUGAUCCAGCAAUGCCGCGUGCAGGAUGAAGGCCUUCGGGUUGUAAACUGCUUUUGUACGGAACGAAACGGUGAGCUCUAAUAAAGCUUGCUAAUGACGGUACCGUAAGAAUAAGCACCGGCUAACUACGUGCCAGCAGCCGCGGUAAGCUGUA
rnacentral:rRNA from 1 species